GACGAACGCUGGCGGCGUGCUUAACACAUGCAAGUCGAACGGAAAGGCCCUGCUUUUGUGGGGUGCUCGAGUGGCGAACGGGUGAGUAACACGUGAGUAACCUGCCCUUGACUUUGGGAUAACUUCAGGAAACUGGGGCUAAUACCGGAUAGGAGCUCCUGCUGCAUGGUGGGGGUUGGAAAGUUUCGGCAGUUGGGGAUGGACUCGCGGCUUAUCAGCUUGUUGGUGGGGUAGUGGCUUACCAAGGCUUUGACGGGUAGCCGGCCUGAGAGGGUGACCGGCCACAUUGGGACUGAGAUACGGCCCAGACUCCUACGGGAGGCAGCAGUGGGGAAUAUUGCACAAUGGGCGGAAGCCUGAUGCAGCAACGCCGCGUGCGGGAUGACGGCCUUCGGGUUGUAAACCGCUUUCGCCUGUGACGAAGCGUGAGUGUCGGUAAUGGGUAAAGAAGCACCGGCUAACUACGUG
rnacentral:rRNA from 1 species